UACGUAGGUGGCAAGCGUUGUCCGGAAUUAUUGGGCGUAAAGCGCGCGCAGGCGGCUUCUUAAGUCUGAUGUGAAAUCUUGCGGCUCAACCGCAAGCGGUCAUUGGAAACUGGGAGGCUUGAGUGCAGAAGAGGAGAGUGGAAUUCCACGUGUAGCGGUGAAAUGCGUAGAGAUGUGGAGGAACACCAGUGGCGAAGGCGGCUCUCUGGUCUGUAACUGACGCUGAGGCGCGAAAGCGUGGGGAGCAAACAGG
rnacentral:rRNA from 1 species